UACGUAGGGUGCGAGCGUUGUCCGGAAUUAUUGGGCGUGAAGGGCGCGUAGGCGGCGAUCCAAGUGGCGGGUGAAAUCCCUCGGCUUAACCGAGGAACUGCCUGCCAGACUGGAUUGCUUGAGUCCGGGAGAGGUGAGUGGAAUUCCCAGUGUAGCGGUGAAAUGCGUAGAUAUUGGGAGGAACACCAGUGGCGAAGGCGGCUCACUGGACCGGAACUGACGCUGAGGCGCGAAAGCGUGGGGAGCAAACAGG
rnacentral:rRNA from 1 species